GAAGAGAGAGGAGAAGGAGAGAGGAGGAGGAGGAGGAGGAGGAGGGGGAGUUGAGGAUUUAUUGUGAUCAGAACUAAAGUCCGAUCGGGUCGAGUCUUCAGGAGGACACUCAGUCAGGACAUCCUGAUCUAAUAUAUCUGGAAACAUCUCCAUCCUCGCUCUCCUUCCGUCUCUGAUCCCUCUUUCAUAAAGCUGCCGUGACUGAGAGUGGCCCCCGGCUCCUCCUCCUCCUCCUCCUCCUCCUCCUCCUCGCUCCUGC